GACACAGAUACACAUACACAAGGAGAAUGCUGUAUGCAGAUGAUGGCAGAGGCCAGGGAGAUGCUUCUACAAGCCCAGGAAUGCAAACCAUCGCCAGCAAACCACCAGGAAAGCACGGUGGGAGGCAUGGAACAGAUCCUCUCACAGCUCUCGGAAGGCAUCACCCCUGCUAGCUUCUUCAGCUUGGACUUCCAGCUUGCAGGCAUGUGAGACAAUACAUUUCAGUUGUUUCAGGCAGUCAGUUGGUGGUCCAUUGUCCAGGCAGCCCUAGAAAACUAAUACAGCAUGGAUGUCAUGAAAGAACUGCUUUGCAUCUGAUACUGUAAAGUAAAAUGCUUGACUCUGUGAGUGAUAAUGAAGUUUUAAAGUGUUGUUCUUAUCCCUGACUUAGGAUUUAUGUGGUGAGAUACAAUAUGGUCUGGAAAAAUCAACAGAAUUCAAGAGAAGAUGGGGUGAAGAGUGAUUCACAAAUUGUUUAAAGGGGCUGACCCAACAGCUGGAGCAGAUCAAAAAGAGGAAAUUACCUACCAUGGUACAGCCCUGGAAGGGAUAAAUAUGGCACAAGUGUUGAUGAGAGCCCAGAACUGUUACGGCAUUGAAGUGAACGUGCUCACCUACAGGUGAGGGGAACGGGCUGAACAUUUCAGACCCAGAGCAAGAACAAAUCCACAGCCACAAGGGAAGUGAGGAAGGACAAAAGGAAGUUAAAAGAAGAUAUGUGAUGGUGAUUAUAAAUCUGUUGUUUAGUUCCAUUAGCCAGCCUCUUGUAGGGUUCACGCGUGUACCCCCGUGGUGAUGAACAGGAUGGACUAACACAAUGCGAGCCUCUUGUUUGGUACCAAACAGUAUCUGCAAGAUAAUAGAAAGGGCAGGGAAUUCAACAGGAAGUUUCACAGCAUCAGAGACUGCCACAUGGACUUAGGAUCCAGCACCUGCUGCUCACAGUCAUCACCAAGACAUGAAAUGAAGAAGGAAUGAAAAUCUUUUCUGGAAACUUUGCAAAAAACAUCUCUGAGACCUUCCUGAGAAUUGAGACGGCUUCAUCUUUAAGGACCAGCCGCUGGAGAAGUGACUGUAAUUCCUGGAAAUACCAAAUCAAUGAUGAGUCAGUAGAACAGAAGUAAUUCAGGCUUAAAGUGAUUUUUGCGGCUAUUUUAAGUUCAUUUCCUUUUUUGUGAUCAAGAGAAUGGCUGCCUUCUCAAAACUGUUAAGUUGUAGCAAAAAGGCAAUGACUGCCAAGAGCGGUUUCCUCUGCUGUCUAUCCCAUAAUGAUCAUUGCAGAAAACAGGUCCCACUCGGUGCUCCCUGCUUUCAAUUGGGUUCCUGGCUGAGUGGAGCAGAGAUAGCCCUCACAUCGUGGCUCUUUCUUCCACCACUUCCAACACCAGAUAUCAGUGAAAUGCUUCCCCAUGUGUAGGACCAAGCCUGGGUUUAACACAGGGGAUAGAUUUUGUGAGGCCACUCUUCCAGUUUCCCUCUGACCAGAAGCAGAAAUGGUAACUCAGGUGCUGUAGAGUGCUCACAAAGUCUGAAGUCAGAGAUGCUUUACUCAUCUGUUACUGUCACAGAUUUGCUUUGAGCUCACUCCUAAAAUUAUUUAAAAUCCUUCUCUGCUCUCUUUCAUAUGGUCCAUGAUUAAAUUAUCCAAGUUAAGCAGCCAAAAGCAAUCAAAAAUGAUGGAAAUAAAGACAAGAAAUGGUUUUAUUUACAAUGCAAAUGAUCUGGUUCACUCUCAAAUAAAAGAACAAAUCAAAUUAGCUGCUCUUCACAUCGAGAGGAAGGCACUGUACAG